AGCAAAGGAAUAUUAUUUCCAGCAUUUGUAGGAAAAGAAUCCAAUGAGCAUCUUACCGUGGAACCAAAUCCCUAAUUAACAAUGACUGUUAUCAUUUGAUGAAAACUUCUGCUCACAAA